GACGAACGCUGGCGGCGUGCCUAAUACAUGCAAGUAGAACGCACAGUUUAUACCGUAGCUUGCUACACCAUAGACUGUGAGUUGCGAACGGGUGAGUAACGCGUAGGUAACCUGCCUGGUAGCGGGGGAUAACUAUUGGAAACGAUAGCUAAUACCGCAUAAUAUUAAUUAUUGCAUGAUAAUUAAUUGAAAGGUGCAAUUGCACCACUACCAGAUGGACCUGCGUUGUAUUAGCUAGUAGGUGAGGUAACGGCUCACCUAGGCGACGAUACAUAGCCGACCUGAGAGGGUGAUCGGCCACACUGGGACUGAGACACGGCCCAGACUCCUACGGGAGGCAGCAGUAGGGAAUUUUCGGCAAUGGACGAAAGUCUGACCGAGCAACGCCGCGUGAGUGAAGAAGGUUUUCGGAUCGUAAAGCUCUGUUGUAAGAGAAGAACGG
rnacentral:rRNA from 1 species